CUCAGGCAAAAAAUUUUCCUUCUAUCAAAAAUCAGCUCAGAAAUUGCUCCCUUUCUAACCUCAAGCAGUUCAAAGAAAUCGCUUGUCUUCUAACAAAGAGCAGCCUAAAAGAUCAGUAAAACACAGAUAAGCAACUCGGGUACAGAACCACCCCCUGCGAGGGCGCCGCCCACCAGCAGCCUCAAGCAGUCAGGCAGGGGAUCCGCGCUGGAGCCUCGCUGUGGGAGCCCCAAGGACGCCAGCUGUAAGGUCACUUCUCCGCAGCAGCCCCGUGUAAAGUCCUCCCCGCCCCCCGCACCAGGCUGUAGGAGGAAACCAUCAGCUGUCUCUGAUUUCCCAUUUCCUCAAGCCGGGAGACAAACAUUGUCCCCUGAGGCGAUGGGUGGAGUCCUCACACGUCUUCCAAAGGCGGUUCCGCCCCGCGGGUAUCCGCCGGGCGCCGGGUGCCUCCGGGUGGGACAUCGGUGGCAGCCGGGCGCCACCUGUGGGGCAUCACUCAGGCAGGACCCGGCCUGAGCUCGAGCGUUGCAGGCGCCACGGGAGGAGCGCGCGGAACCCGGAAGAACUAGGCGGAGCGAAACUGAAACCACCCGCAACGAACUUUGACGAAAGCCUUUUGCAGCUGAAAUCCGCAAAUGCCUUUAAUAUCCUCCCUGAGGCGCGCAAGAGACAAAAAUGACUUUAGAGCGACCCCGACCCUAUUUUACCACCCACAGACACACAAAAACGAACACAGCAAAAGUAGAAAACCCAAUCCCUGUGCUCUUUAUGAAACAGGCAUUUAAGAACAGAAAGAAGCAGUGCUCAAGUGGGAGGAAAUAUUUGCAAAACAAUGAAGUGAAAUGAUCUCCUGGGAAAGGUGGGAAGCAGGGGAAAGGCGGAGUGAAACGACAGGGAGUUUCUCAGCGCUUCGGCUCCACCCGGGAGACCAAAGCCCCGGACGGCUCAGCGGGAGGCUCAGAUGUUUCCCCGCGCGGUGUCCUCUGUUUUCCGUCGCCAAGUCCGGGUCCCAAAGGCGCUGGCUGAGAGCCCCACGUUCCUUCGUUGCAUCCUGGCUCUGCUUCUGCUGCGGGACUGUCCCUGGACCGCACAGGCCGGAUUGUGGUGGAUGAUGAGAAGAGUUUCCUGAAGAGCACAGUUUCCAAGCCUGGCAGAAUGACUCACCCCGGUUGCACUCACAGCCAAGACCCACUCAGCCUUUGGACCAAUCUGCCGCAGGGGCUGGUAAAGUCAGGAUUGUGAAUACUACUGAGCCUUCUGCCAGGGCAUAGGGAACAGCAGCCGAAGGAUGGCCAGCAGGAGGCUCAGACUAUCCUACCCCCAACUCUCUCACUUUGAGUGGGGAGGAAGCCUUGAGCCCAGGGUGUUGAGUUUUCAGUGAACUAUGAUCAUGCCACUGCACUCCAGUGCAAGACAGAGCAAGACUCUGUCACACACAAGCUCACACACACAAAUUAAAUUGUGGUAUGAUACACGUAACAUGAAAGUUUCCAUCUUAACCAUUUUUAAAUGUAAAAGUUUAUUUUUCAAAAUGCAGUAUUUUCACCUGCCUGAGCAGUCCUGGACCUUCUUCACCUGAAUGUUUUCUUCCUAAAACAAGGACCACUUUAAAUCAGACUUUGUUAGCUUUCAAUAGCUGUUGUUACAAAUUACUAUAAAUUUAGUGUCUUAAAACAACAUACAUUCAUCCAGGCAUGGUGACUCAGGCCUGUAAUCCCACCACUUUGGGAGGCCGAGUUGGGCAGAUCACUAUGUCAAGAGAUUGAGGCUGUCGCAAAACCCUGUCCUACUAAUAAUACAAAAACCAACUGGGCGUGACGGCAUGUGGCUGUAGUCCCAGCUACUCGGGAGGCCGAGGCAGGAGAAUCACUUGAACCCAGGAGGUGGAGGUUGCACUGAGCCAAGAUUGUGCCACUGCGCUCCAGCUUGGGUGACAAAGCAAGACUCCGUCUCAAAAAAAAAAAAAAAGAAAGAAAGAAAGAAAUACAUAUAUUAAAAAGUAUAUGUAAGUAUAUAAGUAUACGAAAAUAAAACACAUCCCAGUGUUGUGUGUGCCUACCUGCACCCCCCAAACCCACACUGUGGCUUACUAGGCACUAGAUUCCAGCUGUGGGUUACAUCUGGAGAGCCCCUUAUUGCUCCCCAUAGACGACCAAAGCUGUAGAGAUGAUUGUGACUAUGAAGACAUGUUUAUGCAUUGUAGAACCAGCUUAAUAUGUGAAAUGGUAGAUAUUAUUCAAGGGUGCUAGUCUAAACCAACAAUCAGAGGUUUGUUCAGUGAGAAGUGAUCUUACACAUGGUCUGUCAAAUAGGACCACACUUUUUGCCUCCAGGACUUUGCACAUACUGUUCCCUCUGCUGCGAUUGCUCUUCCUGUGGCUCUAUGACCAGCCACUUUCUUGUCUGUCUUGGGAUUUUGGCAUAAAGUCAUCUCAGAAAGGCCCUCACUGACCACCAACCAUGCUAAUGCAGCCUCCGCCCCAAUUACUCUCUGACUCAAAGCCAUGCUCACUUCUUUCAAAAUCCUCUUUUAACUAGCUCGUUUAUUGCUUUAACUUUUGUUUUCAGAGACAGGGUCUCACUCUCUUUCCCAGGCUGGAGUGCAGUGGUGCGAUCAUAGCUUAUUGCAACCCUGAAUUCCUGGCCUUAAAUAAGGGAUCCUCUCACCUCAGCCUCUGGAGUAGUUAGAACUACACACAUGGCUAUUUUUUUUUAAUCUAAAAUUUUUUAAUAUGUAAUUUUUUAAAUUUAUUUUUUGUAGAGAUAGGGAUCUUGCUAUGUUGCCCAGAUGGGCCUGGAACUCCUGGCCUCAAACUCUCUUCCUACUUCCAUUUCUCAAAGCACUGGGAUUACAGGUGUGAGCCACUGUGUCCAGCCACUGAUUUAAAUUCUUGAAUGUAGAUUUUCUUCCCAACCAGACCACAAGUCCCAUAAGGUUAAAGCCAGGUCUGGACUGUCCAGUGUGGUUUCUCUACAGCCUUGAAUGGGGGCAGUCACAAAGCAGACUGGAUUAGUUUUCCAUUGCAACAUAAUAAAUUGCCAUAAACUUGGCAGCUUAAAGCAAUGUGCUUUUAUGAUCUCACAGUUUCUGUGGAUGAGAAGUCUAGGCAUAGCUUAGCCAGGCUCUCUGAUCAAGGUCUCAAAGGUGGCAAUCAGAGUGUUGGCUGAGGCUGGGGUCUCGUUUGAGUCUUGGCUCCUCUCCCAUGCUCCUGUGUCGUUGAAAGAAUUCAUUUCCUUGUAGCUAUAGAACUCACAGCAGCUUGCUUCUUCAAGGACAGUGGGAGAGCAUGUCUCUGGCUUCAAAUCUCUUCCUUCAAAAGCCUGAGAUUCUCUUUUAAAGAGCUCACUUAAUUAGGUCAGGCUCAACUAAGAUAAUCCCCCUUUGGAUGAAGUCAGGGUCAACUGGUUAGGGACCUUAAUUGCAUCUGCAAAGUUCAUCUCUGCCACAUAAUAUAAUCUAAUCACAGGUGAAAUCCCAUCCUACCAGCAAGUCCCACCUACAUGCAAAGAGAGGGUGUUACACAGGGUGUGUUUGCUGUGGGGAUGGAGAUCUUGUGGACCAUCUAGAAAAUUCUGACUACAACAGUG
ensembl:lncRNA